UGUUUCAGCCUCUAGCCUUCAUGGAGCUCUAGUCACUCUCCUCUAAACUCUGAACCUAUGGGGUUUAACUAUCAGAAUCACACAAAUCAGCUGUUUCAAAACAGCAUAGCAGUCUCAGAAUCAGAAGUGACUGGGGAUGGAACUGGCCCGUGACUGAGCCUCACAAAAGCCCAGCAGCUUCAUCUGUAACACUCGAAUAACAAUACCCACACUUCACUUCACAGGGUUGGUGGAAAGAUUAACUAUGGAUCCAGAAGCAACUUCCAAAGCAUAACACCCCUAAAAUGCAAUUGGUUUUCAGCAAUUAUUAUUCCUCGUUCCCUAAAGAAGAGGUGUUAGAGAACAAGAAUGUUCUUUGCAUAUGAACUUCUCAAAUAGUACGAAAUAGCAGGAAUCAUACACUAUUGGUAAUAUAUGCAGAACUGAGAGGUUCUUAUAACCAUCAAAGGAACAAAAUACUCAAGGACAACAACAUUUAGCACUUGAUUA